rnacentral:lncRNA from 1 species
AUGCUGAAAUGAACAGCCAGAGGCAAAAGGGAUAAUAGCCUUCAUUCCCUUUCUGGCCUCCAGCUUUCCUUAGCACCCCCACUGGCCAAACCUAACUGGAAACCAGAUGACCAAUGAUAAAUGUGUUAUCAGCGCCCAGCCCACAAGUCACAAAGACCAUUAGGGAAAAGUGAAUUUAUAUCUGAGAGAGAAAAUUUAAUAACCAACAAAUUAGUUGAAAUAAUUAAUGGAAAAAGUUAUUAUUCUGAAGGCUAUGUCAAUAGAAGAUAUAAUAAUCAAUGAUGGAGGCUGAAACUUACAAAAAAGAGUAAAAAAAUAUAUGGAAUAAAAGUGGUGCAAUGAGAUACAUCCUGGUAAAGAAAAUGAGAAGAGUUUUAGAAGGAUUUGAAUCCAGGUCUAUUUGAGUUUAUAGCUCAUGCCCUUUCAGUUCUGUCUUGCAGUCUGUCACAAAGAACAUUGAAUUCUUUAUUAAGAUUUCUCUUACUAAUUAGAUAGGGACACUACGUAUUUUUUAAAUAAAGAGAAGAAUGAAUAUGCACCAAACUUAGGAAAACACAUUGCUUCUCAGAGAUUUUCAGAUGGGAUUGUUUAAAAUAGUCUGGCUCUAUUUUAGGGAAAGAAAAUAGCAGAAGUAAGGAACUUCAUUAUUAAUAUUUGUAAAGAGGUAAUAACAUUACAGCUCACAUAAAUGGGAGCAUUAAGGAGGUUGAUAUGAAAGAUAGGCUCCCCAAAUGAACUGACAUUUACUUUAAAGUGUGAACGGAGAAGGGAAUGUGAUAUAAACAAAUACGUAAUGACUGGCAAAACCUCAAUUACUGUAAUUUGAUUUUUCUUAAUAAAUUAAAUAAUAAAUCAGUAAUACAGUGUGAUGCUAUGAUGUAAUUUUUAUGUCUUAAUAUUUUGCCUUGAUGAGUGAGACUAGCUUUUCCAUUCUUUCAUUUUUUUAAGGGCAAUUAUUGCUUAUAUUAAUCAUGCUUAAUUUUCUUUACACCAUUCCUGCUGGAUUUUUUGUCCUUCCUAGGGGUUCAAAUUUAUUCUUAUUAAAUUGCCUUCUGUAGAAUUUUAAAUGAGGAUCUGUCUUUGGUAAACAAUUUUUUUGCUUUAAAAUGCAUUUCACCUGCUGACUUUAUUUUUACUGUGUGUACAAUUCUCAUUUAAACAUGUUUCUUUUUUAUGCUUUGCACACUUUUAAUUCAUUAUCUUUCUGUUUCUAUGUUUGCUGUUGAGGCAUCCAGUAUUUAUCUAACUGUAAUCUUACUGUAAAAAACCUUUUUUCCCCUCCUUUUUGAGUGUUUAUACUAUUGCCAUAAUAUCACCCAGAGUAGACUUCUUGUAACUUAUCUCGCUUGGGUUUGUCGCUUUUACUGAGAUGGUGAAAUCACUAUUAGCUCUCGAAAUUUCCCAGUUAAUUUAUCUUCACAAAGUAUGUGUUUCCCUAUUCUUUGUAUUCUCUUCUUCUGGAACUCCAUUCAAGUGUUUUGUUAGACUUUCUAUCAUAUCUCCAUGGUGUUGUUUUCUGCCUUAACCUUAUUCUCUAUUACAGGGAAUUUUCAGAUGUUCAGUUCAUUGCCCACAUAGAGCUUACUGUUUUACCUGAUCAUUUGGGUUAUGCUAAUAAUUAUUUUUCCACUUAGAUCAUUUACUUUUAAUUUCAUGAACAGCCAUUAAUAUGGGUGUUGAAUAGUUGAAUAACAUUUACUUUUGUAUUUAUAUCCUUUACUUAUUGGACUAUUUUAAAGGCCAUCUUGUUCUUUAUUUUAUUACAUAUUUCUUAACUCUGAUUUAUGGUGACUUAUUCUCUCAUGUGUUUUGUGAUUUUUAGAUUAUAAAUUUGAAUUGUUAAGGCUUUCUCUAGAGGAAUUUUCUCAGACUUAGCUUUUAGGAGACCUUUAUUUGUUAAUGCUAAGGUUAAGCUCUUACUCCAUGAAAAAGCAUAAAGGCAAGGCUAUAUUUGUAAAUUCUCAUGGUAAAUGUCCUUUCCUUCUAGACUCAGUCCCAGGCUGAAAAAAAAAAAAAAAAAUGCCGCUGUUUGUGUUCCUCUCCUUUAUCAAGUACAUAUGAGAUACUUAAUUUGGGGAAUUUAGCUGAAGAGACUUAGGAAUAUAAAUAAAAAUGUGUAUAAGUAAAUAGAAAGAAUAAAAGUAAUAUAUGAUUGUGAUAAAAAUAUAUCAGAACAGAAGCAUGCAUAUGAAGGCAAAAAUUAUUUUUCUAUUGACUUAGAUUUUUUUUCUCCUUCUGCCUCUCUUAACAUACUAAUAAACUUUAAUGUUUCAAGAUUUAAACCUGGAACUGUAUAGUAUUAAUAUGGCCACUGAGUAGCCAAAUACAACAGAUACUUUAUUCUCUACAUAUGCAGAAUAUAUGAAGCAGUUAGCUGACUGAAAUUUGAUAUUUAUACAAAUAUCUUGAGAAAAUCUGUUUAGUGUUUCAGCCAUGAAGUUUAACUGGGAUGUUUCAGAGAGGCUCCUGGCAGCAUAGUGACCUAGAGUUUUAUGCUGAGAGCUCUGCCUCCCUUAACACACGGCAAUUCCAUUCAACUUCAAAAAUAUUUUUUACUGUUUUCACAAGAUCAGAAAUGCUGUGUUACAAUAAUUUGCUUUGGUUUUCACAAGACUAGAAAUAUUUUUUCACACUUAUUCUUUGUACUACAGAGAAACUUGGCUUAGAAAACAUGGCAUCUUUGAGCGGUCUGUGAAAAUAGCUUUCUAAGUUAAUAAACCUUACAUAAUUCCUAAAGAACAGAAGAAAACUGCUAAAAUAAGAUAAAUGUCCUUGUAUUAUACCAAAGGCUAGCAACAGCUCUAGAUGAUGUGUAUUAUUUUCACAGAAAUCAAGAUGGUACAAUUAGCAACUAUGAAUCCACAGAGGGGCUAUACUGUUCUCAACAGAGAAUGGUAACAAGAAUCUCCAUCUUCCUUAGCUGUACUUGAUGCUUCCCUAGGGUUGCAAGUCUUAAUUUGAUUUGUGAUCAUGAUUUCUGUCAAUCAUGCCUUAAAAAAAGAACAUCUCUAUCCCACUCUCCAAAAAAAUAGCCAUGUGUCUAAACUGUACAGUGCAUUUAAAACUGGUGAAAAAUGACUACAUUCCUAUGAUUAAAUCACUGACAGCUUUAAUCACUUUAUCUUCACAUCACUUUUAAAAGACUAAACUACCUCGAGAAGUCUCAUCAAAACAAAACAUUUCCUAACUUGAAAGUAAAAUUUCACAAGCUUUUUUCCUUUUCUGGAAGCUACUUCACUUUGAAACAAGUGGGUGUUUAAAAGCCAAAUGAGUAAAGACUGUUGUGUUUUUCCAAGAUUAAAGUUAUAUGUGACUUUCUUUUUCUGAUGUUAUAAUGUGUUAUUUUCCUUGGCUAAGAUCAUGGACUCUCAAGCCAAAAGGACAUGAUUUUGAAUUCCUGCCCUGUUACUUUUUAGCUACCUUGAACAUGUCAUUUUUAUCUCUGCAUUUGCAUGUUUAUAAAAUGUGACACUAUUUCUCUUUGAAUGUAUUUAUAAUUAAGAAAAUACUUGUAAAGUGCCUGUUGUAUUAUUUUUACCAAAUUGGUGUUACUGAUUAGUACAUUGCCAUUCAAAUUUAGUGCUAUUGACAGCAAGAGAGAAUUUUCCAUGUAGUUACUCUGCAAGACAAUUUGGUGGGAAGUAAACCACAGCAAUGAUUCCCAGGUGGGAACAGCCUUCCGGACCCUGGAAGAGCUCUGAAAGGUAGAGAUUCGAUAAAAAGUGCCAUUUGCUGAUUUAACCUCAACAUUCUAAGUGUCCUCAAUUAUCGUAAUCUUGGCUUACACAAAGUCAGUUUCCCCGACAAUACCAUAGUGAUUGUUCAAGUAUUGUUUUGCAUUUUGUAGGGUCUCUUACGUUUCAGCACCUAUGAGCGAUGUUCAAAGGAGCUGUGCUCUCGGUGCCUCAUCUUAUCGCGAGUAAAUCUGCUCCGCUACUGAAUUUGCCUUCUUGGUGAAUGGCUUACAUCUUAUGUGUUAAUUUUUAAAAAUGUACUAUGCUCUUCAUCAAGUGGCCAUGCUACUUUUAAUUUGCUACACUUUGAAUUAGCUAUGUGUAAGAAAUCCCAAACUGAAGUGUUUCAAAUAGAAAAGUUAAUU